rnacentral:pre_miRNA from 1 species
AUAGUACUCCCUCCGUUCCAAAUUACUCGUCGCAGAAAUGGAUGUAUCUAGAACUAAAAUACAUCUAGAUACACCCAUUUCUGCGACGAGUAAUUCGGAACGGAGGGAGUAGUUU